GGGUGGUGACAGGUGUCCUGGGCCACCGCAGCCUCCCUGCUGCAGCGUCCCCACUGAGGCACAACGCCCACACACUAAAAGCAAGAGAGCGCCUCCUCGUGCAUGCCACUGCCGACGAGAGCUCUGGGAGGACCAAAAGGAAGACCACAUCCUUCUUGACUGCCACCUGUGUGCUCCUGAGCUACAGCAUCCAUUCCCACCUUCAUUCUCUUGCUCAUGCACUCACCCAUUCACCCUUCCAUGGAGAUUCACGCACACCUUCUGUCUGUCAGCACCGUGUGGGGGACUGGUGGGAAAGCACAGCGGCGGGCACAGUGACAGGCCUUCUUCCUCCAGAGAUGCCUCUGGCAAAAGAAGUCUUUUCACCAAAUGGGAAACUAGAGACUAUAUGAGAUGUUCCCCUAAAGCAGUGUUCCAGACCAAGAGAAGACUUCAGCCCAAAACAUUUAAAAGAACCCAGCUGCCGCAUAAGCACUCCAAGUGCCCGAGCCCGCCGUGCGCGAUGCAGCCGUCACCCGCGUGAGGAGAAGAAAGCCUUUCGCAGAGCGGCGGGAAUCAGACGUGUGAGAGAUGCCUUCUUGGAUCUUCCAUUCCAAUUUAUCCACCAGCUGCAUGCAGGUCUGGCCCCGGUGAGGGGGCCCCGGUGUUCGGGACAAAGGAAGAGGAAAGAGCCUCUGGUGAGAUCCCGGACUUCCUGCCAGUGCCGACAGUGCACACCUAGGGAGUGACUGAGGAAAUGAAAAGCACCACCUAUGUGGCCGUGGCCGUGUACGCGGCAUGGGAUCUGGCAGAGCAUACACAUGGUCCUGCCUUCAAAACUUCUCUCCAAUGAGCGCCCUUGCCCCGUUUCCAUCACCUUUGCAGUGGCCGGCACUCAGCCUGCUCUCACCAGGACUCUGGCACUGGCCGCUGACCACCUUGCAAUCCACUCUUCGUGCACUGCUGGAAGGCAGCCCUCAUCGCUGUGUUGGUCAGGACUCUCCAGGGAAGCAGAACCAACACGGCGAGGCCAGCGCUGGGACAGCUCUGCCUGACAGACACUGGCUCAUCCCAUCACUCCUCCCCUCAGAAGUCUAAGGCCCUGUCAUGUGGCUAGGAUUGUGGUGCUUGCUUCCGGAGGAUGAGAAGGCUUCUAGACAGAGCCAGCAGAGCCUAGCAAGUCUCCUUCACAGCCAGCAUUGCUGAGGACACGGCCGAGGGAUGCUAUGAAUUGGCACAGGGUCUCCCUCAUCUGGGCCGUGAGAGGCCCGGGUGCCUUAACCUCGCCCCUGCUGCUGGACACACGCAGCGAAUGGCGCGACUGCAAAUGCCUAACGGACAGGCUCUGGAGCGAGCGGGCCCUCACUCUGGGCUGGCGAGUUCAAACCAGGAGACACAUCUACAAGGACACUGUCCAAGGGCUCCACAGGAAGGACGGUCUCCACGUGGACCAGCGCUUGGAGGACCUGACAAAUCCCCCGGAUACAAUACCAAGGUCACUCCUUCCUGGAGCAGGUGCCACCUGAGAAGACCAGGAGAAGGCCAGCACCCGCCAGCCCUGCAAGGACUCUGCUGCCCGUGUACCCUGAGUUGAAGGAGAACAAACAACAGGAAUGAGCAUAAAGGUGCUCUGGAAGUACUCCUCAGGCCCCAAGGAACCACUUCACAUCUCUUGCCCACGUCCUUGAAACAAGGCAGCUGCAUCCAUACGCCAUGAAAGUUUAAUUGAGCAAAGAACCAUUUGUGAAUUGGGCAGCUCCUUGAACCAGAAUAGCUUCAGAAAGGCUGAAGCUGCCACGUGAUCAGAGAGGAUUUAUGGACAGAAAUCAUGUACAGAAAACAGAAGUGAGACGCCAAAGGAACCAGGGGAUGUCUACUGCAACAAAUUGGAUGAAAUGAUAAGGAUGCUUGCAAUUAAGCAGCUGAGAUUGAUCAAUAGAGACAGGCCAAUCCUCUUUCAAGAUAAUGCUCAACCACAUGUCGCACAAACAACGCUGCUCAAACUACAGAGGCUAGAUUUGGAAACUCUCUUGUCAUCUGCCAUAUUCAUCAGACUUUGCACCAAUUGACUACCACUUCUUCCCGGCUUUGGACCACUUCUUGCAAGCAAAUAUAUUCAAUUCUCAACAAGCUGUGGAAAAUGUCUUUCGUGAUUUCAUCGCCACUUGCUCUGCAGUCUUCUUUGCUGCUAACAUAAAUAAGCUACCUUUAAGAUGGCAAAACUGUGUCAAUAGUUUAAUUGUACUUCUUCUUUUUUGAGAUAUAACAAACUAUACUUUUGAUUCGAAGUUGGACGUUUAACGACCUAAUAGUAUCUUCCAUGUAUAGUAUAAACAUAUCGUAAUAGACUUGUGCAAUUGGCAGCAAAUAAUUGUUCCCAUUUUGUUGAUGAAUGUCCCAUAAACUUUCACUCUGUAUUCUGUGAUUUGCCUAAUUACUCAUCGGAUUCAUCUGAUAUUUCUGUAUUAAACGCCUGAAGCGUAGUCAGUUACAGGUUUUCACAAGGUCCUCAGUCAUCCACGCCUUCUCCUCAUAGGUUCUUAAACUCUUGUGAGACAGGCCACCCACAGUUACGAAGACCCUGCAGAGGAAUGGGUUAGAAGAGGGCUGAAGGACAGAUAGACAGACACAACUUCCCAGUGUGGGCAUCUCAAAGGCCCAACAAAAUCAUCCAAUAUCCUGGAGGAAUAAGUAUUUUGGAAUUGUCAAUAAUAUGAUAAAACUAUGAGCAGUACAUGAGUCAGCUAUGUACUUUGAGAAACCUAAGACAUAGGUUCUUUAUGGAAUAUUUUCCUUCAAGAUAAAAACAAAAACAAAGACAAUGUAUGACAAUUUGUGGGGGCCCCACAUCACCCUAGGGCUUUGCACUGCUACAGAUGAUCUUACCUGCUGCAGAAAUAACCCAUGUGCUGCACAUGGGCCUGCACUGCAGAUGCCACCAAAUGAUCUCAUCACUCAGUGUCUCACUGAACCUGAGAGAAGGGGAUGAGUGAGAUCGAAGAAUGGAGUGAAACUAGUCAUUGUGCACUGCGAACUAAGGCUGUUUUGGUGUCACUCUAGGCCCUAUGAUUGGUUAAAAUUAUCACUUUGAAUGUCAUCUACUCAAUUUCAUGUCCCAGACCUGCCACAAAGUGGUUAUGUGACCCCUUCCCAAGGUCAUGUAGUUUCUGUGGGCUUCUAAUUUCUUUUCUGUAAAACGAAAAAAAAUUGGCCAGAUAACCUCCAAAGUCAGUUCCCAUUCUGACAGUUUCUGAUUCUUUCCUUACCCUACUUCUAGUUAUCCCAAGCCUCUAUCGGUUUUAGGAACCAUUUAACUUGGACAACAAGAACUCUAACUCCUAAUCCCCGUAGACACGAGCAGAUUCUUGGCCUAAAGAGCAUAACUCAUUUGAAGUAUCCUGGGGCACAGCUGGCCAGUGUCUUUGCCCGAACCUCGGGCAAAUGUAUGCUGGAUGUGCGGCUGCCAAAACAAUGUCUGCUGCCCCAAAGUGGCAACUUGGAGAUCAAGAUCUCACUCGCACUCUGUGGUUUCAUUUCCUGCCCGGAAACAGAGCUCAGUGUUGCAGAUGGGGCCCUUGAGAUGACAAACUCUACUAAGACGUAUUCUGUGUUCAGCAUGGUUUCCUCUGUCGAGAGGUAGUUGGUAAACAUCACAGAGCCUGUUGUCUUUGUGGGGUCAGGCAGAAAGCACAAUUUGAGUAAAUGCUACCUUGGAUUCCUACUUCUGGAUGAAAUGAGUAUGAAGUACCCCCUGGCAUAUGAAGAACACCCUUGUUGUGGUGUUCAGCAGGACUCCCUAGUCGUGGUUUCAGCCUCUGUGGGCCCCUCUGGGCUGGGGAGAGAAGAGCCCCCCCAAGUGUUCCAGCCAGUAAGCAGCAGGUGCAAGGAGCACAGCGGCCCUGGGCACCCCUCCAGGAGGACCACAGGGUUGCCCCAGGCCAAGACCCCCCCAGCUCAGCAGCACAGGGGCACUGCCUUCCACCAGGGUGAAGACUGUCUGUGCAUUUGCACGGGCAUAUAGGACAGUGCCUAAAAACACAGAUUAUAAAGCCAGAGACCUGGACUCAGGUCUGGCCACUUACGACCUCUAUCAUUUAAGCUUUCCAAGCCUCAGCUUCCUCAUCCAUAAAAUAAUGUUAAUAGGUAGAAUCUAAUCCUAAGGCUCAUGUGAGGAUUAAACAAAGCCAUAAGGUACACUCUCUGGAGCACAGUGCUGUGCUGAGCCUCACCGGAGCCUGAGACAAAUGGAAAGACCUGUAAAAAUGAUCCAGUCUCUAUUUAAAAGUUUGAUAUUUAGUUCAUCACGAAAUUUUUGUAUUAACUUUUAUUUUUAAACUAUUGCAUUAAAAUAUUACUUAUCUUGAUUACUGAGAGGAUUUUUUACACCCACACAACUACAUAGCAUAAUUUAACAAUUAUCUAAUGUCUUGUAUUAGUCAUUGUUUCAAGUUCUUAUGUCCUGUUUUCCCAAUUAAUUUGUAUACCUAUUAAGGGCAAAAAUUAUGACACAUGUCUUUUAUCCCUAAAACUGCUGAGUGCAUAGGAGGCUCAAGUACAUUCUUGUCCAGUGAUUGCAUAUAGCCCGUGGAAGGCAAUUUACCACCCUACUAUUCUCUAAUUGCUGCAUGUGUUUGAAGGUUUUGUUUCAUCCUUGAGGGCAGGGAUGACAUCUGGCAUUCAUUCUGUCCUAUGUCAGAUAUAAAGCUGAGGACACAGAAUCAAAGACCUGGCAGAGACCUUUGAGUUCAGUUAAUCCCAACUGCUCACUUUACAAAUAAACUAUCGGAUGCUCAAAGAGGUUGCAUCAUGCAGCCAAGCCAAUCAGUGAUUGAUCUGGGAUGAGAAUUCAGGUCUCCUGGGCUCUUUCGACUCCAGUAUUUUGUUAAUUUUCUUUGAUCUGUCUGUCCCUUUUGAAUAUUAAGCACAGGAAUUGAGAAUGUAGGAAAAAUUCAAUAAAUUACAUAGACUAUUUAUUUCUGGAACUUGCGUAAUCUUGCUUAAAGCUAGUAUAAGAAGUCCUUGCCUGGAAAGGUGUACAUGUAUUUACUAACUAUUCGCAUAUCCUAACUCAGUGUGGCAAAUUAGUUUAGAGAAUACUGGAUUUGGAGUUAGCAGCUCUGACUUAAAGUCUUGGCUUUAUUAUUUCCUAUCUAUGUGAUUUUAGAUGAAAUUUAGUUUUUAAUUUAAUUUUUCUCACCCAAAUCAUGAACAUAAUAAUGGUAUCUACCGUAUAGUCAUGAAAAAUUACACACACAAAAAAAACUUAUAAAGAAUAUAGUACACUGCCUCACACAUAGUAAAUUCUAAAUAAAUAUUAUCAAUUAUCACUAUUCUAAAAGGAAACCCCCAAAUUAGAUGGACUAUAAGGGCAGAUGGAUAGAUUUAUAUGCAUGUUUCUGUAAUACCUACAUUUUUGCAUUACA